GUUUGAGGUGAGUGGAGGGAUGCCGGUCUUUUUACGCCUCUUCUUCAUUCAAGGACGUAGUGCAGAGAUGUAGGAGAGGGAUGUAAUUUGCUACAGGGCUACAUCUGUAUCCGGUACAGUUUCCCUCCAUUCAACAGUAUUCAGGUUUUGCAUAUGUACGUCCAAGACAGGAGAUAUUUAUUGUGUGGCGAUGGGGUCCAGACCCGAGUUUAGUCUUGCACCUAAAACUUGUUUGUUGCCAUUUUAAUUCCAUUUACACUAGCAAUAUAUUCUUAUUUAUUGAUAAACUAUCAUAAAGUA